rnacentral:rRNA from 1 species
GGGCCCGCACAAGCGGUGGAGCAUGUGGUUUAAUUCGACGCAACGCGAAGAACCUUACCUGGGUUUGACAUGUGCAGGACCGGUGAUGAAAGUCACUCUCCCUUCGGGGCCUGUGCACAGGUGCUGCAUGGCUGUCGUCAGCUCGUGUCGUGAGAUGUUGGGUUAAGUCCCGCAACGAGCGCAACCCUCGCCCUCUGUUGCUACCGGGUCAUGCCGGGCACUCUGAGGGGACUGCCCCGGUGAACGGGGAGGAAGGUGGGGAUGACGUCAAGUCCUCAUGGCCUUUAUGUCCAGGGCUACACACGUGCUACAAUGGUCAGGACAAUGGGUCGCUCCCUCGCAAGAGGUUGCCAAUCUCAAAAACCUGGCCCUAGUUCGGAUGGUCGGCUGCAACUCGCCGGCCUGAAGCUGGAAUCGCUAGUAAUCGGAGAUCAGCACGCUCCGGUGAAUACGUUCCCGGGCCUU